UCUUUUAAUUGAAGGCUUGUAUGAAUGGUUGGACAAAGUAUUUUCUGUCUCAUAGAAAUUAAAUUAGAAGUUUACUUUUUAGUUAAAAGGCUAAAAUUUAGUUAAAGGACGAGAAGACCCUAUAGAACUUUAUAAUAGAUAUAUUUAAUAAAUAAAGAAUUAUUUAAAUUUUAUAUUAUAUAUUAUUUUAUUGGGGUGAUAGUAAGAUUUAUAUAUCUCUUAUUUUUAUAUUUAACAAAUAUAUUUGAAUUAUUGAUCCAGUUUUAUUGAUUAGAAAUUUAAGUUACCUUAGGGAUAACAGCGUAAUUUUUUUUGAGAGUUCAUAUCGACAUAAAAGAUUGC
rnacentral:rRNA from 1 species